rnacentral:tRNA from 1 species
GGAAAGAUGCCGGAGUGGUCGAUCGGGGCGGUCUCGAAAACCGUUGUCCUUUCGUGGGACCGGGGGUUCGAAUCCCUCUCUUUCCG